GACGAACGCUGGCGGCGUGCUUAACACAUGCAAGUCGAACGGAAAGGCCCUGCUUUUGUGGGGUGCUCGAGUGGCGAACGGGUGAGUAACACGUGAGUAACCUGCCCUUGACUUUGGGAUAACUUCAGGAAACUGGGGCUAAUACCGGAUAGGAGCUCCUGCUGCAUGGUGGGGGUUGGAAAGUUUCGGCGGUUGGGGAUGGACUCGCGGCUUAUCAGCUUGUUGGUGGGGUAGUGGCUUACCAAGGCUUUGACGGGUAGCCGGCCUGGGAGGGUGACCGGCCCCAUUGGGACUGAGAGCCGGCCCAGCCCCCUCCGGGGGGCAGCGGGGGGGAUUUUUGAAAACGGGGCGGAGCCCGGAUGCCGAACCCCCGCGUGGGGGAGGAGGCCUUUCGGUUUUUACCCCGUUUCCCCCUGUGACGAAGGGGGAGGGAGGUUAAUGGGAAAAAAACCCCGGCCUAACUCCGUC
rnacentral:rRNA from 1 species